ACGGGGUGCAGCAGGCGCGAAACCCCCUCAAUGCACUUACGUGCGAAGGGGCUACCUCGAGUGCCAUCUGAUGAAGGUGGCUUUUCCUAGGUCUAAAAAGCCUUGGGAAUAAGAGGGGGGCAAGACUGGUGUCAGCCGCCGCGGUAACACCAGCCCCUCGAGUGGUGGGGAUGAUUAUUGGGCCUAAAGCGUCCGUAGCCUGCCGUGUAAGUUUCCCGUUAAAUCCAGCGUCUUAAGCGUUGGACCGCGGGAAAUACUGUACGGCUAGAGAGUGGGAGAGGUCAGCGGUAUUCUGGGGGUAGGGGCGAAAUCCUUUGAUCCCCGGAGGACCACCAGUGGCGAAGGCUGCUGUCUAGAACACGUCUGACGGUCAGGGACGAAAGCUGGGGUAGCGAACCGGAUUAGAUACCCGGGUAGUCCCAGCCGUAAACGAUGCAUGCUAGGUGUUGGGUUGGCCACGAGCCACCCCAGUGCCGCAGGGAAGCCGUUAAGCAUGCCGCCUGGAAGUACGAUCG
rnacentral:rRNA from 1 species